rnacentral:rRNA from 1 species
CUAAAACAUGCAAGUUGAGCGAAGCAGUAGCAAUACUGACUGAGCGGCGUAAGGGUGAGGAAUACAUUUCUAUGUACCCCAAGGUCGAGGAUAGCCAAGAGAAAUCUUGGGUAAUACUCGAUGUGGUCGUAAGAUCAAAGGUUUACCGCCUUAGGAGCGGGGAAUGUCCUAUCAGGUAGUUGGUGGGGUUACGGCUCACCAAGCCAAAGACGGGUAGCAGGUGUGAGAGCACGGCCUGCCACAUCGAAACUGAGACACUGUUCGGACUCC